GACAGCAGUCGCCGCGGGAAUACAGAGGGUGCGAGCGUUAAUCGGAUUUACUGGGCGUAAAGCGUGCGUAGGCGGCUUUUUAAGUCGGAUGUGAAAUCCCUGAGCUUAACUUAGGAAUUGCAUUCGAUACUGGGAAGCUAGAGUAUGGGAGAGGAUGGUAGAAUUCCAGGUGUAGCGGUGAAAUGCGUAGAGAUCUGGAGGAAUACCGAUGGCGAAGGCAGCCAUCUGGCCUAAUACUGACGCUGAGGUACGAAAGCAUGGGGAGCAAACAGGAUUAGAUACCCCCGUAGUCCCUGUCUCUUAUAC
rnacentral:rRNA from 1 species